GACAUUCACAUAGGGCAUUACGCAUAUCAGUGAGGAUUCGUCCGAGAUUGCGUUUUUGCUAGUUGAAAACUAUCAACUGACCGCUCUCGUCGGUCUUCGGAUCGGCGAGGAAUUUUUUGACACAACGACUUC
rnacentral:snRNA from 1 species